CCUUGAUCUAGAUAAUCCUGGUUAUAUUUUCGACUCCCCAGCCAAGAGCUACCCUAAGUUGGGUCAGAGCCUAGAGGAGUUUGGGAUAGGAGUGUUCAAGGAGAAGAAUAGGAACAGAUCCAAACAGGAGCAGCACCGAUGACAAACUCAGCUGUAGAGUUUCUGGAAUGGAGCAAUUGCUCCUAUUUUUUUAUGCACUUUGGGCUGUAGGAAAUAAUGUGAACAUUUUCCCAUUUGACUAUCACAGCAAUCCUUCAGGCACCCCAGGCUGAGCUAUCAGCAUCAACAUAUGGCCCUUGGGAUCCUCAGAAGGCUUGGCUCCAUCUUCCACAGUUGGGGCAGGGAAGGUGGGCAUCUUGGUGCCUGGCUUGGCAGUCACAUAAGGACCAUCUGGUGCCUGCUGGAAGAAAGUCAAGAUUGGAGUUCCUCACUCUCCACUUUGCCCACUCAUCCUGGGCUUCCUUACCCAGGCCUCUGCAGUUGUGCAGCAGAAGGAGCUCUGGGCUGGGAGGAAGGAUGUGCUGAUAAUUAUUUAACAUCUAACUCUCUGAGGAAAAAAAACGUAUACAUGAUACACUUUUGUUUUAACCUGUAUUAUCAACAUUUUUUCCUUCGCUUUCUUAAGUCUAG
rnacentral:lncRNA from 1 species